AAGGCAUUGUUGUUCGGUUCAAUGUCCUUGUCCUAUCAGACGCAUACUGUUUGACUGACUUCGCGCAAGGGCUUGGAGAUUCGUUUGUACUUGAAUUAUAUUCAUUCAAACAAAAUGAUGGCAGCAAGGUUUCUCCGUUGCUCUCUCCCUGUAUUGAGGCAAGCAAGAUGCUACGCCGACGCACCUUCAGGUUCUGCCCAGAUGUCAUUCACAUUUGCCUCGCCAACGCAGGUGUACUUCAAGGAGGCCAGUGUGAAACAGGUUGACGUGCCCACGCUGACUGGUGCUUUCGGUAUCCUCCCUGCCCAUGUCCCCACGCUGCAGGUUCUCCGGCCCGGAGUGGUCACCGUGUUCAACGAUGAUGGCUCCGCAGCAAAGUUCUUUGUGAGCAGCGGGUCAAUCACGGUGAACGCAGACUCCUCGGUGCAACUACUGGCUGAAGAGGCUUUCCCCCUGGACCAGCUGGAUGUGGCUGCUGCCAAGGUCAACUUGGAGAAGGCCCAGUCUGAAAUGGCGUCUGCGUCUGACGAGGCUGCCAGGGCCGAGGUCCAGAUCAACAUAGACGCCAACGAGGCAAUCGUCAAAGCCCUGGAGUAGACCGCGCUACUGGUCUUUGUGUUUCAGGAGCUCGUUUAGCACCUCGGACUAGGUGACUGCCUGCAGAGGGAAACUUUGUAGAGGGGCAGGGGGAAAAGAGCGAAGCAUCAGAACCACUUGGUUAGACCAACAGAAGUGGAGUAACUGCCAGAUCACAGACGAACCAGGGGCUGGACCUGUUUGUUUUUUAUUCCUGUUUUCUUUAUGGGGGUGUUUUGUUAACAAUACCACUGAAAAUAUCAAAGGUCCAAGUGUCCUUGACUGAGGGGUUCAAGCUGAGUCUUCCAUUUUAUCUCUAUGGUUCAAUUUUCGCCUUUGUUCCAGGUGUCGUGUUGGUAUAAAGGAAAUGAAAAUUCUCCAACUGUUUCCCGGACCAGUCAAGUCAGUAACUGCAAGAUCUCAUGCUUGCUUUGUACAGUGGAAUGAAGUGACCAAUAAAUGUAUUUGGAUUUACCUGCCAA